UCAUUCUUUUGAAUUGUUUUGAAUUUCAGUUUAUUUACUUUCUUUAUUUCAAGUUUUAAAUAAUGUGGGAGAAUGUUAAGUUUUAAAUAAUAUGGGAGAAUGUUAGAUUUUAUUGGAUUUUUGGUGAUUUAAAACUUAUUAGGCCUCUUGGGCAGCCCAAUACUUAAUGGGCCUUUCUUGGGAACCCAACUAAGGUAUCCAUAUAUGAGGUUUUGUCCUACAUUAGAAACUAAAGGUAUGUUGUUGUUAUUUAUAUAUUGCUUGUUCUCAAGUUAGUUGCUUGGAAGAAAAUGAGAGUUAUACUCUUGACUAAACACA
rnacentral:lncRNA from 1 species